AUCGUAAACCAUUGCUUCCGAAUCAAUCUGGGCUUGCCCAUAUCCAUACUGAGCUGCAAAGUUCAUCGUGGCCGUUUCCUCACCAUGCGGCCCAGUAAAUCGGCCCGUCACAUCCACCCCACUUCGCUUUCGUCAGAGAUCGCCGCCGUCGCCGUCGCCGCCGUCGCCGCCGCCGCCGCUGGAUGGAACCGGAUCUGCCUGCGCGUGCUCGAUAGCUUGCAAGACCGAUCAGUUGGCGAAUCCUGAAUGCCGCAGCGGCGCAGCCGCCUCGGCUGCUUCCCGUCGGGCGGCGCUCCCAUGGAAGGAUGGGGAUUGGUUCCGUUAACGCAGAUGGUGCGUAUUUCUUCAGGCCUUAGAUCCAUGAGAGUUCCAGUGCGCCAUUGAUUAAUAGGGUUUAUCCAGAUCUCCACUGUGGAAUGUGGAUUGUGAUUGAGAGUAUUGCUUCCUGGUUGGUGGUGGUGUGCAGGUUUCGCCUUGGCCUGGGGCUUUCCAUGAAUAAGGCGGCGCCGGCGUGCUUUGCUGCUUUGGACAACGCAGCAGCGGAUGCCCUUCAAAGUUCAAACUCGUCACCUGU
rnacentral:sRNA from 1 species